CACGUAGGGCGCAAGCGUUGUCCGGAAUUAUUGGGCGUAAAGAGCUCGUAGGCGGCUUGUCGCGUCGACUGUGAAAACCCGCGGCUCAACUGCGGGCCUGCAGUCGAUACGGGCAGGCUAGAGUUCGGUAGGGGAGACUGGAAUUCCUGGUGUAGCGGUGAAAUGCGCAGAUAUCAGGAAGAACACCAAUGGCGAAAGCAGCUCUCUGGGACGGUACUGACGCUGAGACGCGAAAGCGUGGGGAGCGAAC
rnacentral:rRNA from 1 species